GAUGAACGCUGGCGGCGUGCCUAAUACAUGCAAGUCGAGCGAACGGACGAGAAGCUUGCUUCUCUGAUGUUAGCGGCGGACGGGUGAGUAACACGUGGAUAACCUACCUAUAAGACUGGGAUAACUUCGGGAAACCGGAGCUAAUACCGGAUAAUAUUUUGAACCGCAUGGUUCAAUAGUGAAAGACGGUCUUGCUGUCACUUAUAGAUGGAUCCGCGCUGCAUUAGCUAGUUGGUAAGGUAACGGCUUACCAAGGCAACGAUGCAUAGCCGACCUGAGAGGGUGAUCGGCCACACUGGAACUGAGACACGGUCCAGACUCCUACGGGAGGCAGCAGUAGGGAAUCUUCCGCAAUGGGCGAAAGCCUGACGGAGCAACGCCGCGUGAGUGAUGAAGGUCUUCGGAUCGUAAAACUCUGUUAUUAGGGAAGAACAAAUGUGUAAGUAACUGUGCACAUCUUGACGGUACCUAAUCAGAAAGCCACGGCUAACUACGUG
rnacentral:rRNA from 1 species